rnacentral:rRNA from 1 species
GCAAGCCUUGAUCCAGCCAUGCCGCGUGCAGGAAGAAGCCUUCGGGUUGUAAACUGCUUUUGUACGGAGCGAAAAAGCCUCCAUUAAUACUGGGGGCUCAUGACGGUACCGUAAGAAUAAGCACCGGCUAACUACGUGCCAGCAGCCGCGGUAAUACGUAGGGUGCAAGCGUUAAUCGGAAUUACUGGGCGUAAAGCGUGCGCAGGCGGUUUUGUAAGACAGAGGUGAAAUCCCCGGGCUCAACCUGGGAACUGCCUUUGUGACUGCAAAGCUGGAGUGCGGCAGAGGGGGAUGGAAUUCCGCGUGUAGCAGUGAAAUGCGUAGAUAUGCGGAGGAACACCGAUGGCGAAGGCAAUCCCCUGGGCCUGCACUGACGCUCAUGCACGAAAGCGUGGGGAGCAAACAGGAUUAGAUACCCUGGUAGUCCACGCC